CUUUGCAUUUAUUCAAAACUGUUACAGUUUUUCUCAAUUGCUAAAACACUAAAACCCAUUGGCUGAACAAGGUUCUCAGUUGCCUGAACUCAUUUAGCUAACUGUGCGGUCUGUUGUCAAUACCUUAAACCAUUUCACAUGGUAAAA